AUUGAACGCUGGCGGCAGGCCUAACACAUGCAAGUCGAGCGGAUGAAGGGAGCUUGCUCCUGGAUUCAGCGGCGGACGGGUGAGUAAUGCCUAGGAAUCUGCCUGGUAGUGGGGGAUAACGUCCGGAAACGGGCGCUAAUACCGCAUACGUCCUGAGGGAGAAAGUGGGGGAUCUUCGGACCUCACGCUAUCAGAUGAGCCUAGGUCGGAUUAGCUAGUUGGUGGGGUAAAGGCCUACCAAGGCGACGAUCCGUAACUGGUCUGAGCGGAUGAUCAGUCACACUGGAACUGAGACACGGUCCAGACUCCUACGGGAGGCAGCAGUGGGGAAUAUUGGACAAUGGGCGAAAGCCUGAUCCAGCCAUGCCGCGUGUGUGAAGAAGGUCUUCGGAUUGUAAAGCACUUUGAGUUGGGAGGAAGGGCAGUAAGUUAAUACCUUGCUGUUUUGACGUUACCAACAGAAUAAGCACCGGCUAACUUCGUG
rnacentral:rRNA from 1 species